ACACACAAGAAAGGAAGGAAGAAAGAAAAAGAAAGAGUGGAAAGGAAAGCACAUGCCUGCAGCUUCUUUCUUUU
rnacentral:ribozyme from 11 species